rnacentral:rRNA from 1 species
AGGAGGCAGCAGUGAGGAAUAUUGGUCAAUGGGCGCAAGCCUGAACCAGCCAUCCCGCGUGCAGGAAGAAGGCGCUAUGCGUUGUAAACUGCUUUUGCAGGGGAAGAAUGUUCUGUAUGCAUACGGAAUUGACGGUACCUUGUGAAUAAGCAUCGGCUAACUCCGUGCCAGCAGCCGCGGUAAUACGGAGGAUGCGAGCGUUAUCCGGAUUUAUUGGGUUUAAAGGGUGCGUAGGCGGAUUGAUAAGUCAGUGGUGAAAUACUGCAGCUUAACUGUAGAAUUGCCGUUGAUACUGUUAGUCUUGAGUACGGUCAAGGUAGGCGGAAUGUGUAAUGUAGCGGUGAAAUGCUUAGAUAUUACACAGAACACCGAUUGCGAAGGCAGCUUACUGGGCCGCAACUGACGCUGAUGCACGAAAGCGUGGGGAGCGAACAGGAUUAGAUACCCUGGUAGU